AUUGUUCUGUGACUGAGUGGCGGACGGGUGAGUAACGCGUGGAUAACCUGCCUUUCAGAGGGGGACAACAGUUGGAAACGACUGCUAAUACCGCAUAACACAUAGGUGUCGCAUGGCACUUAUGUCAAAGAUUUAUCGCUGAAAGAUGGCCUCGCGUCUGAUUAGCUAGUUGGUGAGGUAACGGCCCACCAAGGCGACGAUCAGUAGCCGGACUGAGAGGUUGAACGGCCACAUUGGGACUGAGACACGGCCCAGACUCC
rnacentral:rRNA from 1 species